rnacentral:lncRNA from 1 species
UUUUUUUUUUUUUUUUAACGAUUUUUAUUUUUUUCCAUUAGGGCUGGUUUACAGUACUCCUGGGUGUUUUUGGGUAGUAGCUAUAUCUUCGUGGUGGCUUUGAUUUUUAUUCCCCACUUGAUCGUCGCUUCCGGUGCUUAUUGGCCAUGUGCAUAUCUUCUUUGGGGAAAUGUUUCCUGAGGUCCUUCGUCUGCUUUUGAAUGGGGUUGUUUUCAGCUGUGGAGUUCUUCCUCAUAGUCUCCUUGAACCAUACAAGUUCCCAUCCUCAUCUCUUUUGUUUGUUUCACGUUCACUUUAUUUGUUGUGGCAACGCGGUCGUUGCUGCUGUAGAGUUCGCCACAGUCUGAUGUCGCUGAUGACAUCCCUGAGGUGUUGUCUGCCAGGCCCCCCUGCCCCCAUAUGUAUUUUGAAUUGGUCUAAAUGUUUGGUCUGAUCUAGGUCUGGUUUGGGGCAGCAGCCCUCCUUGGUGGAGGUGUGCAGGCCGGUCGGGAGUCACGAGGCGUCAGGUGGCUUCCCUUUUGUGAUGAUCGUCGCUCGAACCCACGAAUCCAUCAGGGGAUCCAAAAUCGUGAGAGCCGCACCCUAUCAUCGCCUCGUCCUUAUUGACAGGAAUGCCUUUACCAAGGGCGUCUUCCCUUCUCACAAACUAUUCUGUUACACUGAGCAUAGGAAAGAUAAACGGAACUGUUUCUGUUCCUUUGUUUACUAGUUUUGGUUGGCUGGUUGGUUUUUUUGGCCGUGUGUGCAGUAUGCGGAAGUUCCGGGGCCAGGGAGUGAACGCUCACCAAAGCAGCGGCUGGAGCCACGGCAGUGACCACACUGGAUCUUUAACCCAUUGAGCUAUCAGGGAACUCCCAGUUUUUGAAAUAGUGUGCUGAUUCCCCAGCAUCCUCUACAGGCGACUGACUCCUCACUGAGUUGUUUUGUUUUUUAGGUAUUCUUAUGCACUUUCUGAUGUCUGUAUAUUUGCUAAGUUUUGAGUUACAAACUUUUAUUGAUCCUCAAAUUGCUCCAGCUUUGGCCAGUAAGAACCACUUUUAUUUCCUGAGCCUCUGAUAUACAUUCUUUAUAGUUUGCUUGCUUUUCUUCUUCUUCUUUUUUUUUUUUUGUCUUUUAGGGCCAUACCCACAGCAUAUAGAGGUUCCCAGGCUAGGGGUCGAAUCCGAGCUGUAGCUGCCAGCCUAUGCCAGAGCCACAGCAACACGGGAUCUGAGCCGCAUCUGCAACCUAUACCACAGCUCAUGGCAACGCUGGAUCGUCAACCCACUGAGCAAGGGCAGGGACCGAACCCGCAACCUCAUGGUUCCUAGUUGGAUUCGUUAACCACUGCGCCACGACGGGAACUCCAAGACUUAGAAUUUUUUAAGGUGCUUUGGUUCUUUUCAGUGGGUUAUGGAUUUUGAGGACCAUAGUAUGGCACUAGGGAUAUUCGUUGCUAGUGAGGCGGUCAGGAAAUGCGUAUUUAUUUUAAAAGAUAAAAGAAUCAUAAAUUCGUACUUUCACUUCGAUUCGAAAUCAGGACUCCAGGAUUUUUAUUUAACCUUACCUUAUUAUUAUUAUUUUUCUUCUUUUUUGCCUAUCCUGAGGCAGUUGGAGUUCCUGGGCCAGGGAACAGAUCUGAGCAGCAACACAGGAUCCUUAACCCACUAUGCAGAGCUAGGGAUCAAACUUUUGUCCCAGCAUUCCAGAGACACUGCUGAUCCCAUUGCACCACAGUAGGAACUCCUAACCUUAUCUUACUUCUGGAAUGUUCUUCCAUCCUCCAAAUCCCAGUUCUCAAUAGUUCAUCAUGGGCUUUAUCCCAUAAGAUACAUACAAUAGUCUCAAAAUAACCACACAAAUACCACCAGCAAGAGUGUUAUUUCACUUGGCAUAUGUGGUGAAAUCAAUGUGUAUUAAGCUGCCUGGAGUGGCAUCUCUCUGUGAAGUGCCAACACCCGAAGUACAGAGUGGGCAUAUAUUUUUUUUUUUUUUCUAUUUUACUCUGGAGUUUUAGAGAAGGCUUUUCAUUUUUUUUUUUUUUUCUUUUUAGAGCUGCACCUGCAGCAUAUGGAAGUUCCCAGGCUAGGGGCUGAAUUGGAGCUGUGGCGGCCAGCCUACGCCUCGGCUCAUGGCAAUACCAGAGCCUUAACCCACCGAGCGAGGCCAAGGAUUGAAAUCACAUCUUCAUGGAUGCUAAUGAGAUUCAUUUCUACUGAGCCGCAGUGGGAACUCCCUGAUGCACAACUUUUAAAGCUUCUCCUCCAUUUAUAGUUAUCGUAAGAUAUGGGCUAUAUUCUCAGUGGUGUACAACAUAUCCUUACAGCUUAUUUUAUACCUAAUAGUUUGAAUCUCUUAUUUCCCCACCCCUGUAUUUCGUGCUCCUCGCCCCAUUGGUAACCACUAGGUUGUCUUCUGUGAGGCUGCUUCUUUUUUGUCACAUUCACUGCUUUGCUGUAUUUUUCAGAUUCCACAUAUAAGUGAUAUUACACAGUAUCUGACUUAUUUCAUUUAGCAUAUAAUACCCUCCAAGUGAGGGCACACUUUAAGACAGUUUCGUAAGUACUUCUGCAGGGGCGACUUUAAAACGAAUUUAUGUAUAUGUAUAAAGUAGAUGAUCCACAAAGAUUUGCUAUAAACACAGCGAACAAUAUUCAACCUCUUGCAAUAAUUAUAAUGGAAAAUAGCCUGAAAAAAUAUAACUGAGUCACUUUGCUGUACACCUGAAACUAAUACAAUACUCUAAAUCAACUAUACUUCAUUAAAAAAAAUUUGAAAAGGAAAUUUCUGUUGUGACUCAGCGGUAACAAGUCCAACCAUGAGGUUGAGGGUUCGGUCCCUGCCCUUGCUCAUUGGGUUAAAGGAUCCGGCAUUGCCAUGAGCUGUGGUGUAGGUCGCAGACACAGCUCAGAUCCUGAGUCGCUGUGGCUGCGGUGUAGGCUGGCAGCUGUAGCUCUGAUUGGGCUCCUAGCCUGGGAACUUCCAUAUGCCACAGGUGGAGCCCUAAAAAGAAAAAAAAAAAAAAAA